AUACCACAGCAAGUGCAUAGACCCAUGGUUAACACGGAACAGAAGAGUGUGCCCAGUUUGUAAAAGACGUGUAUUUGCUCAUGAUGAGCAUUUGUCUGAGACAGAAAGCGACACAGACACCGAUGAUACCACACCUCUUCUUCGCCAGCCCUCUCAUGUCACUCAAGGUGGAACCUUCACACCAGCAUCAUCUGAUGUUGGGGGGAGCAGCAUCACAGGUGGAAGUACAAAUCGUGUUGAACAGAAUGAUUCGGCUGCAGAUCUGUCACGGUCUGCGCCAGCAGCUUCUUUACCCCGAGGAAUUGCACGUCACAUUGGUAGACGACGCAGACUCUUUCAUUCAGUGCAGCCUGAAGUGGCACAUCAGCGGCUCCAGCCACAGCAAGAUUCAGAAUCUGUAACCUCAGAGUCCUCUUCUGCUUCAACAGAAACCUCAUCUGAUUACUGGGACAGUUUGUAUGCGUCAGCCGAAGCUCCAGAUGAGGCACAACAGCAAGGACCAACUGCAGUGCCAGCAGUUUCAGGAGAACAUUCCAUAAAUGGUGAUGGCCAAGUCCACAGCCCUGCAAGUGGUAACAGCAGGACACACGAUGUUGUGGUGUGAGAAUUGUUGUUCAGUAAGAGUUGAUGCGUAUGUAACAAGGGCACUUCCCAAGUGCAUUGCAGCAGGUGCUUAGCAGAGCUGCAUGCUCCUAGAAAUAUUCUUGUAUUAUUCUCUCAGAUUCUGUAUUAUCAACAUAUUUCUUCCCUGUACCACUUCUCCUACCCCCGUGAUGUUACAAAGAUGUCAAGCUUUUGUAGGUUCUGCAUGAAAUUAAAAGUUCACACACAAACUACUUCCACUUUUGUGGUCUUUGCAGGGUCUGCUGUUCCUUGUGAGCAUGAAUAUUUUCUAUCAAGGAGCUGUUGCAUUCUCAUAGAUCACAUGAAUGAUAUAUUAUUAAGUUGAUAAGCUACUGAAGAUUUGUUUAAAAUGUGGCUCGUGUUGGGGAGAAAAACUUAGUGUUUCACACUAUGGUUAAAAAAAUCACUUUACAGCCACAAUCACUGUUGUGGGCUACAAACAAAGUAUUUUAUAUAACAUCCAUAACUAAUUUAUAGCUUUUGUAGUAGUGUCUCAACCUUGACAAGCAAGGUGUUAUGUGUUUGGAGUAUUUCUUGGGAAUAAUGCAUUUUCAUGUAGGGGUAAAGUGAAAAAUGUAGAUAUUAAUGUGUUAAUUUACUUAUAUCUUUAGUCAUAUAAAACUUAUGUGAUGAUGUUUGGUAGUGAUCUGACAAUGCCUCAUGGAAGCAAGAUAAUUUUUAAAAGUGAAAAUGUAUUUAACUUAAUAUAUGGCCUAUAAUUAGUGUAAAAAAGCUAAAUAUUCUAAAUAUAUUAUCAGUAGGUGGGGAGGCAAAAAUGAAUGUGUGCUAGAAGCUGCUUUUAUUGUUCUCACUAUUGAAAGAGAAUUUUUUUUAAAUUUUAGAUGCACACUCAUAACAUUUUCCUUAAUAUUACCAUUUAUGCAGCCAUCAGUUUCUGUGGUCCAUUAGAAGAAGCAUUAUCAUCAAACUUUUUUCAAAGCAUUAUUAUUGUUAAUUGAUGGACGUAGCAUAGUGACAACAUUUGUGCUUGUAAUUAAGUAACUGCAUAGUACUGGUUCACUUUCAGCACCAGAUUUUAUUUCGUAUUAUGAGUCCAUCACUCCUCUCACAAUGGAGUCCAUGCUACAAAUAUACUUUUGUUACUAAAUAACUAAAUUAUGAAUGAUUUGGCAGUGAUGGCUACAAUCACACUUUUAAGGGUUUUUCCCCUCCCUUAAUGCCCUCUGAUGAGAGGAGGACUUAAAUUUUAAAAGCUGUAUUUUAAUUAUCUGUGAACAAUUUGUAGAUGAUGCAAUUUAGGUUAAGUUCUUCCAUCUUCAACAUGUGUUGCAUUUUCAGCUAAAAAUAUCAGUUAACUGAGAUAGUGGAUCAUUUCUGAGUUAUGAAAAAAAUUAAUUGAAUAUUCAUCGCUUUAUUGAAACUGUAUAUCGUGUGUAAAGAGCCCGUGUAACCACUGGUGUUUAUUUUACACAUGGUGCUACUACAUUUGUCUGUCUUUGUAUAACCCAUGUUACGUAUAUACGUGUGUGUGUGUGUGUGUGUGUGUGUGUGUGUGUGUGUGUGUGUGUGGGUGGGUGGGUGGGUGGGUGGGUAGAGAGAGAGUGAGAGUGUGAGUGAGUCAUCAUUCGUACCUUUUUAUAAUUGUAAACCAUAAAUUGUGGGAACUGCUUUUAAUGGUGUCUGUAGUUUCCUUGCAAACUGAGCUGUGUAAUCACCUAAUUGCAGCUAUGGUCAGUAUACAAAAUAUAUGCAGGAUUAUGUACCUUUAAGGAAUUCAUUUUUAAAAUGAGCAGUAAAACUUCAGUACACUAAAUCUGAAUGAGACUGUGAUAUUAUUGUUGCCAUAACAUAUAAGAAAUAUGUAAAGUGUUGUUAUUUAUUGUAAAAAGAUUUUAUAGUUCUGCAAAAUAAAAUAUUUUUGUUUCACCAA